rnacentral:misc_RNA from 1 species
GAUGAAGAACGUAGCGAAAUGCGAUAAGUAGUGUGAAUUGCAGAAUUCAGUGAAUCAUCGAAUCUUUGAACGCACAUUGCGCCCCUUGGUAUCCCGAGGGGCAUGCCUGUUCGAGCGUCAUUUCACCACUCAAGCCUGGCUUGGUGUUGGGCGACGUCCCCUUUGGGGACGCGCCUCGAAACGCUCGGCGGCGUGGCACCGGCUUUAAGCGUAGCAGAAUCGUUCGCUUUGGAAGUCGGGGCCCCGUCUGCCGGAAGACCUACUCGCAAGGUUGACCUCGGAUCAGGCAGGGAUACCCGCUGAACUUAAGCAUAUCAAUAAGCGGAGGA